rnacentral:lncRNA from 1 species
AUUAUAACGUAAGGGAAUUUGUGAAUGAAGGUUUUUCUUUUUUCUUUUGGUACUGGGGAUGGAACCCAAGACCUUGUGCAUGCUAGGCAAGCACAUUACCACUUAAGUCACCACCCUACCCCACUCCCUUAAACUCCUUUAAAACUCAGGAGUUUCCUCAUUAAGUUGCGCAGAUUGGCCUUCAAAGUAUAAUUCUUGUGCCUCAGCCUCCCAAGUGCUGGGGUUACAGGCCUGCACUAUGUGCCCUGACUGAGGAUUAUUUUUGGAUUCUCUUUCAGAGAGAAGAUGAUCUACUUUUGUUAUCUCAAAUGCCCCAGAGAGCUUUGUUGGACUAGCACAUACCUGGGAGAACUGAAGAACAUCGUGUCCCAGUACACUAAAAUCACUAAUACUUAAAAGAUCAGAAAGUAUUUCUCUUGAUGCCUUUUGUUUCACAAUCUAAGGCCAGUCCCUCACCAGACAGCGAGGAUACACAACCCCCACCCAGCUGCAGGUUCUGAAUGAUCAGAUACUGGCCCCUCUCCACAUGCACCAGGAAUAGGAACUCUCACUGCAGAAGCCACACUCAACCUGGACAACAGGUCAUGUCAAAGGGUGCAGUCAACCACCUUGCACUCUGGUCAAAGGCUCCAGUUCCUACAAGUUGGUAGAGGGAUCCAGGUGUACUUUCAGUCACUGGAAGAAUUACAGGACCCUUAUCACAGGCAUUCUGACAAGCUGCAAUCUAAUUCUGAAAAUUAGUGGAGCCCAUGUUCUGGAAGAGUCUGCAGAAAGGCAUCAGGGAUUGGGACCAACCAUGAGGGUAAGGACCCUGACAGGCUAUCUCUGCUGGCAUAGCAGCUCUUAUUGGGUCACUGCAAGUUAUAUCCCCUGCACACAAUGCCAGGAAUCCACAUUUUACUCACAGGAAUUUAGCGUAGCACCACCACUGCACACAGCUAGAAGUGCUGCCCUCUUACAAAUGUGAACGAUUGUCUCCUGUACCCUAGUGAAUUUUCACAGAAAUCAUUAGCAUUUUGACAAAAGAGACACAGUUUUCCAUUUGCCCUGUCCACAGGUAAGAUGUUAACAUUGCAGAUUUGAUAAGAAGUGCUUAGAAAGUGCUAACAUUACCCUGGUAAUUAGUAGCUAUUAAUUCCAAGGACUUUUUUUUUUUAAUGUAUUUACACAUACUGUUCUUAGGUUCUUUUAAUACUAGUCUCUGACAUUAUAAAACUUCAGUAUUGUUUUUUGCCCUUUGAGAAUUUUAAAAUACAAAUUGAAUUAAAAGAUUGUUCCAAAAUCUGC